GCCUAACUGGCUCAGUAGAGCAUGAGACUCUUGAUCUCAGGGCUAUAAAUUCAAGCCCCAUGUUGGGUG
rnacentral:tRNA from 1 species